GCCGAUGUAGCUCAGUUGGUAGAGCGGCGCAUUCGUAAUGCGCAGGUCGCCAGUUCGAUCCUGGCCGUCGGCU
rnacentral:tRNA from 1 species